rnacentral:lncRNA from 1 species
AGACCCUCUGCUUCUGCCGCAAACGGCGGGCCUCACCUGGACCCGGGGACUCUUCAACGAGGGGCGCUAGCCUGGCCCGACUGGGCGAGUCCCCGCGUCCCUGCCCGUUCCGUCGCUCAGUUCCACGACACGCUCCCCUGCCGCCCCGCCUGUUCGCGGGUGGGUGGGCGCUUCCCUCGGCUCCCCGUGACACUUUGCAGACGCUCCCCGGCGCCGGGCAUGGGCGCCGCCGCCGUCGGUCCCCGAGCCGGAUUCCGCGAGCGGACCAGGGGUCCAGGCCAGAAGGUCCCUCCUGUCUCACUUCACCUCCCCCAGGAUGGACCCUCCAGUCCAUCUGCGUCUCUCCAUUUGUGGCUGCCGUUUCUGUCCAGUGCCCCUGAGGCCCUCGGCUGCUGGGGUCCGUAGGAAGCCGCGCCAUGAAUGACCGGAGCAGUCGGAGGCGGACAAUGAAGGACGAUGAGACCUUCGAGAUCUCCAUUCCCUUCGAUGAGGCACCCCACCUAGACCCACAGAUCUUUUACAGUCUGAGCCCCUCUCGGAGAAACUUCGAGG